AACAAGGUUUCCGUAGGUGAACCUGCGGAAGGAUCAUUAAUGAAUUGAAAGGGAGUUGAUGCUGGCCAGGUCUCUGGCAUGUGCUCGCUUCCGACAAUCUUAUCCAUACACCUGUGCACACUGUGAGGGCAUGCAAGUGCCCUUAUUUACUACAUACACCUAAUAUGGAAAUCGCACGUGACUUGCGUCGUAUGGCGCUUAAAACUAAAAACAACUUUUAACAACGGAUCUCUUGGCUCUCGCAUCGAUGAAGAACGCAGCGAAAUGCGAUAAGUAAUGUGAAUUGGCAGAAUUCAGUGAAUCAUCGAAUCUUUGAACGCACCUUGCGCUCCUUGGUAUUCCGAGGAGCACGCCUGUUCGAGUGUCGUGAAAACUCUCAAGCUAGAUGCUUUAGUGUCAUCUACUUGGUUAUUGGACUCUGCUGUCUCCUUGUCUGGAACGGCUGGUCUCAAAUGUAUUAGCUGGUCCUUGUUGUGGGAUUUGGUUCUACUCAGCGUGAUAAUCUAUGACCGCUGAGGACAUCUCUCGGGAUGGCCAAGCCUGCCUUGGGCUGCUUCUAACUCAUCAUCAUGAUAUUUUUCAACUUUGACCUCGAAUCAGGCGGGACUACCCGCUGAACUUAAGCAUAUCAAUAAGCGGAGGAAAAGAAACUAACAAGGAUUCCCCUAGUAACGGCGAGUGAAGCGGGAUGAGCUCAAAUUUAAAAUCUGGCAGUCUUCGAUUGUCCGAGUUGUAAUCUAGAGAAGCGUUUUCCGCGCUGGACUGUGUAC
rnacentral:rRNA from 1 species